CCUACGGGAGGCAGCAGUAGGGAAUCUUGGGCAAUGGGCGAAAGCCUGACCCAGCGAUGCCGCGUGUGCGAAGAAGGCCUUAGGGUUGUAAAGCACUUUCAGUCGUGAAGAAAAGCUACGAUUUAAUAUGUCGUGGUCUUGACGUUAGCGACAGAAGAAGUACCGGCUAACUCCGUGCCAGCAGCCGCGGUAAUACGGAGGGUACGAACGUUAAUCGGAAUUACUGGGCGUAAAGCGCGCGUAGGCGGUUUGAUAAGUGGGAUGUGAAAGCCCCGGGCUCAACCUGGGAACUGCAUUCCAAACUGUCAAACUAGAGUGUGGUAGAGGGCGGUAGAAUUUCCUGUGUAGCGGUGAAAUGCGUAGAUAUAGGAAGGAAUACCGAUGGCGAAGGCAGCCGCCUGGACCAACACUGACGCUGAGGUGCGAAAGCGUGGGGAGCA
rnacentral:rRNA from 1 species